rnacentral:rRNA from 1 species
UACGUAGGGUGCGAGCGUUAAUCGGAAUUACUGGGCGUAAAGCGUGCGCAGGCGGUUCGUUAAGUCAGCUGUGAAAGCCCCGGGCUUAACCUGGGAAUGGCGGUUGAAACUGGCGAACUUGAAUCUGGCAGAGGGGGGUGGAAUUCCGACGUGUAGCAGGUGAAAUGCGUAGAGAUGUGGAGGAACACCGAUGGCGAAGGCAGCCCCCUGGGCUGGAGAUUGACGCUCAGGCACGAAAGCGUGGGGAGCAAACAGG